rnacentral:rRNA from 1 species
GAGUUUGAUCGUGGCUCAGAUUGAACGCUGGCGGCAUGCCUUACACAUGCAAGUCGAACGGCAGCACGGGAGCUUGCUCCUGGUGGCGAGUGGCGAACGGGUGAGUAAUGCAUCGGAACGUAUCCUGGAGUGGGGGAUAACGUAGCGAAAGUUACGCUAAUACCGCAUAUUCUGUGAGCAGGAAAGCGGGGGACCUUCGGGCCUCGCGCUCUUGGAGCGGCCGAUGUCGGAUUAGCUAGUUGGUGAGGUAAAGGCUCACCAAGGCGACGAUCCGUAGCAGGUCUGAGAGGAUGAUCUGCCACACUGGAACUGAGACACGGUCCAGACUCCUACGGGAGGCAGCAGUGGGGAAUUUUGGACAAUGGGGGCAACCCUGAUCCAGCCAUGCCGCGUGAGUGAAGAGGCCU